rnacentral:misc_RNA from 1 species
GGGGAAAUCACGUCUAUGACCCACUAUUGACUCACUUCCAAAAAAAUGCCACAGCCUAUAGUUUGCUUAAAAACAAGUAUUGAUCUACAAGAGUUGCCCGGUGAUUCAAAAAAAAAUUGAAAACACUAGACGCAUUAAUAACAAUUCCGGAAGGGAUUAUGUUUUCUUUUGGUAUAUCUUCUAUGACUUGAUAUGACUAUCAACAAUCGCAGUUAUGAAUUGUAAAGUGAUAUACAUGUACAUAAUUUACUUUAGUGAAUAUUUUGACAUAAGGCGUAACAAAAACGGAUUUCUAAAAUCCAUUCAUCCUCUUCAGAGUCAGACACAGGUGCUGGUGUAUAAUAUUUAUAAAGCAUUUCCAAGUGCUUUGACCAUCAGUUACCUCUUUAAUUAUACUUGCUACUUCCCCCACAGCAACGCGGAUCUGAACUUUGCUGUCCCUCUUCCUUACUGUAACGGAGGAAGUCGAAUCCACUGUAAUUGCAAGGGGUACCCCAAGUUCAUCCGUUCUGGCAUAUCGUUUUCCAAUUGAUGUACCUGUCAUAUCAAUUUUAUAUGAAAUUCCAGAAGCAGCCAAUGAGUUGGCAACGUGUUUGGCAACUUCCUCGUAUUCUUGGUGCUGGAACACUGGGAAUACAGUGCAUUUGAUAGGAGCCACCAGCGGAGGGAAACGGAAAACGUUCAACUGCUCAUCCCCAGCUUUACUAAGCCUCGCGUGAAAACAAUGCUCAUACAGACAGUAAAUUAUUCGCCCAAUGCCAAAAGAUGGCUCAAUCACUGAUGGUGUAAAGACCCUUUGAUGUUCUUUCUCUCUCCUUGAAGAUAACCAAACACCUAUUCUUCUUUAUUAUCACAUCCUUAUCAAGUCUGCAGACUCGGUACCAUACCUCUCCCUGGGACUCCAAAACAGCUUUCAUUUCCAUGGCUUCUCUUUCAUCCAUAGCCUAUUCAGCCAUUAAUAUUCUAGAGGCAAAACAAAGGCUUGUCAUCUUCCCUUCAAAGAUGCUCAGCCCAUUUAAUAAAUGGUUAUCCUCCUGCCAGUGGAUGAAAAUAGAGUGUGGGAUGGCACUCUACUCUCUAAUGCUUCGAUCACCACCUUCUGGUUACCCCUGAAUGCAAGGCCUAGCUCCUUUUUCAUUGGAGUGAUAACAAGAUCCUCAACUUCUCUGGGUUCUGCAAAAUUUCAUGUGCCACAAGGGAAACUCCACUUUUGUCCUGAUAUGGAGUAUAUAUAUAUAUAUGAAGUAAUUUAUCCUUAAAUCCAACUGCUUUAGUUUGCCAUACCACAUCUAUUACAAACAUAUAGAAUGAAGAAAGGGAGAGAGUACUAUGAUUAAGUAAACAUUAGCUUUGAACGCUUGCUAGCUCUAAUAUUGGACACUCACCAUGUGAACACUUACCAUGUGAGCCCGCAGAUCAUAUGCAGAUCUAUCUGCAAUACCAACACAUUCAAUCUGGCCAUAGAAGCAUUCAAUCUCAGCAUCCCAACAAUCAGCUGCAUAGUGGGCCAUCUCAUUUGCGAGGUGUUGUCUGAAAUUCAGCUGUUCCUUAUCAAUACCAAGACAUAUUAAGAAUAGAUACACUCUCCCGAUGAAAUAGCCAAGCGUUUCAUUAUUGACGAUACCCAUUGAAAAUGCUUCUCCAAGGGGUAUCCUUCUUGCUGAUUGUCCAGAAACCUGUGCUUCCCCAGGGAACAUAAGAAACUCCAAAUUUGCAACUUUAGAAAAUUUUGGGUGUGACUUGUCAUCAGGAUCUACAAAGUGCUCAAUCUCAGCAAGUGUAAAUUCACGAACUCUUAGGAGGCCUUGUCUUGGAGAUAUCUGUUUUUGUUGUUAAUCAAAAUGUCAGAUUUCAACUAUUAUUGCAAUCUCUCCAGGCACAGCAUGCUAUGAUAGAAUGAAAAAUUGCAUUAUGAAAUUGGAGGAGAAAAUAAGGGAACAACAGAUACAAAUAGCUACUACUUUUAUGAUCACCUUUCCACUGCCAAUUUAAAUUCCACUGUAUCUAUCAUUGGUACUAGGUGAAAAACCUCUAGUUAAAGUAGCCUAUUUGUAGCAAAUCUAGAGUUCAAACUUUUGAAAGCAGUGACAAGUUAAAGGAUAUUAUUGUGGGCCAUGAGGCUACUAGUCUGGAGGAUGUAGUGAAGGAUAAAGUGAGGUCCAAAUUAUACCAUAACACAAGAAACUUCAAAUCUCAAAUAUUCAACCUAUGGCUGAUACCAAGGAAUCGCUACAGGUGCUUAUUGGCACCAUGAACAGCAAGUUCAUCAACAAGAUCUCUUCCAACAACAAAGGCAAUUCCAUUGUGACCAUGAAACAAAUCAAAAUAUACACACCCACAUGGCAAUGCAAUAGUAAAUGAAGGAUUUGGCACCUCAUUUCUAAAAGCCUGACCAAUUUGAUCUGCAAGCAAAAGGACGCUUACUGCCAUUAUGGUAGUAAAAGUCCUUAAAGUUGACAAAAAUGCCUUGUGCUGUUUCAGGGCGCAUGUAUCUGACGCCAAAAUGCAAGGACGUUAGACUUAACGGCGCAGCCCGGUGGACCAUAAUAAAAAAGCCCAGCAACGCCGCCAUAUAUCUUAAAAGAAGGGGUGUAGAAGAGACGCCUUUCGAGAGUAUUAAUAACUGCCUGACGGAAAGCAUCCUUGCUAGCAAAGGCGUUGCCAUUUUCGUUGCUGCUGUUGCUGAGAAUAGCGAUUUGGAGCCGCCGCUCGAUGGAGGCCUUCUCAGAUUUCAACACCUUUAAGGCUUCCAUGGUGGCGUCGAUGAGCUCCUUGGAUGCGCCCGGCUAUUUCAGCUCGGUGACGGCGUGGGCUUGCGCGGCUAUCGCCGUUUGCUUCUCCGCGAGCUCUGUGAGGAGAGCGUCUUCGUUGGUCUCCAUUUCGAGAUGAUAUAUAUAGUAUUGAAGCUUCUGUGAAUUGUGUUUGACAUAGAAAAAUAGGAAUCGAUAAUUUGAAAGGAUAAGAAGAAUAUAAGAGAAAGAGGUAUCGAAUUGCAGCGAUGGUCCUGUCAGGUUGACCGGGAUAUUUUCCUCGCCGGGAA